GACGAACCGUACAAACGUUAUUCGGAAUCAUUGGGCUUAAAGGGUGCGUAGGCGGCGCAGAAAGUUGGGUGUGAAAUCCCUCGGCUCAACCGAGGAAGUGCGCCCAAAACUGCUGUGCUCGAGGGAGAUAGAGGUGAGCGGAACUUAGGGUGGAGCGGUGAAGUGCGUUGAUAUCCUAAGGAACACCAGUGGCGAAAGCGGCUCACUGGGUCUCUUCUGACGCUGAGGCACGAAAGCUAGGGUAGCGAACGGG
rnacentral:rRNA from 1 species